CCGGGGCAGGUCUCCGGGAGGGGCAGGUCCGCGGCGUGCCUCCAACCCGGCGCCUGCAGCCCCGGGGCAACAAGGUGUGGGGUUUUUAAUUGAGAAGUUUUUCUCUCUGGGCCUUAUUAUACAGGAAAAGGGAAGGGGCGAAGAUCCGGGCUCGGGUUCUCCCGGGGAAGCGAACCCAGAGGCGACCCCAAACUCAGUAGUUGCCGCCCAGCUCGGGGACUUGAUGCCGGCGUCAAGCGGGGCAGCGGAACGCACCAGCGGCCCGGCCAGCCCAGCGAGAUCCGAGCGGGCGGCCCCGCCAGACAGCGCCACUUGCCCGCGCCGAGAGUGGCCCCUCACCGCGCUUCAGACAAAAGUGAAGCAAAUUAAAGUCCAUCCCGCCAUCCUUCCAAAGAGCAAAGAAAGUCCAUGGAAAUUCAUCAACAUCCAGGAUGCUCAGGAGCUUCCAGGUUCAACAGAUGCGUGAGAUCCAUAGCAGAAACAUUGCUGUCCUCUUCAGAUUCAAGUACGGGUGAAAGUCAAGCUCUGGGAUACUGGAGCAGGGCUAUAUAAUUCUCUUUCCCUUGUAAUUUCAUUAAAAAAGAUUAAGGAAACCCUUGAAAAGUUGUAGAUACCUAAAAUUUUGGCCGUGCAUUGAUCAUCCACAAAAAGUGAAAGAUCACAAGUGAUCAAGCCACAUGUGUGAAAAAUCUCAAAUACACUUUGGGAGGCCGAGGCGGGCCGAUCAUAAGGUCAGGAGAUCGACACCAUCCUGGCUAACAGGGUGAAACCCCGUCUCUACUAAAAAUACAAAAAAUUAGCUGGGCAUGGUGGUGGGCACCUGUAGUCCCAGCUACUGGGAAGACUGAGGCAGAAGAAUGGCGUGAACCCGGGAGGCGAAGCUUGCAGUGAGCCGAGAUCGCACCACUGCACUCUAGCCUGGGCAACAGAGCGAGACUCCAUCUCAAAAAAAAAAAAAAAAAAAAAAAGAAAGAAAACUCUCAAAUAACUCUUGAUUCAAAUAGUCAACAUAACUCCUGGAGGAAAAAAAAAAGCAUUUCUACAUUGAGAGAGACAUUGCUAUAGUCCCC
rnacentral:lncRNA from 1 species